AGCAUAUUUUACUCAGGCAAAGCUCGACCGCCGACCGAAGCUAUGGUGAUAUUUAUCAAUCAGCACAAGAAGCAGUACAAAGUCGACCCGAUCUGCAGGCAAAUUCAGAUUACCCUG
rfam:Nitrosomonas communis strain Nm2, complete genome.